rnacentral:rRNA from 1 species
AACUAGCAUAUCAAUAAGCGGAGGAAAAGAAACCAACAGGGAUUGCCCCAGUAACGGCGAGUGAAGCGGCAACAGCUCAAAUUUGAAAUCUGGCUUCGGCCCGAGUUGUAAUUUGCAGAGGAAGCUUUAGGCGCGGCACCAUCUGAGUCCCCUGGAACGGGGCGCCACAGAGGGUGAGAGCCCCGUAUAGAUGGACGCCUAGCCUGUGUAAAGCUCCUUCGACGAGUCGAGUAGUUUGGGAAUGCUGCUCAAAAUGGGAGGUAAAUUUCUUCUAAAGCUAAAUACCGGCCAGAGACCGAUAGCGCACAAGUAGAGUGAUCGAAAGAUGAAAAGCACUUUGAAAAGAGGGUUAAAUAGCACGUGAAAUUGUUGAAAGGGAAGCGCUUGUGACCAGACUUGCGCCGGGCGGAUCAUCCGGUGUUCUCACCGGUGCACUCCGCCCGGCUCAGGCCAGCAUCGGUUCUCGUGGGGGGAUAAAGGCACCGGGAACGUAGCUCCUCCGGGAGUGUUAUAGCCCGGGGCGUAAUGCCCUCGCGGGGACCGAGGACCGCGCAUCUGCAAGGAUGCUGGCGUAAUGGUCAUCAGCGACCCGUCUUGAAACACGGACCAAGGAGUCAAGGUUUUGCGCGAGUGUUUGGGUGUAAAACCCGCACGCGUAAUGAAAGUGAACGUAGGUGAGAGCUUCGGCGCAUCAUCGACCGAUCCUGAUGUUUUCGGAUGGAUUUGAGUAGGAGCGUUAAGCCUUGGACCCGAAAGAUGGUGAACUAUGCUUGGAUAGGGUGAAGCCAGAGGAAACUCUGGUGGAGGCUCGCAGCGGUUCUGACGUGCAAAUCGAUCGUCAAAUCUGAGCAUGGGGGCGAAAGACUAAUCGAACCAUCUAGUAGCUGGUUACCGC